rnacentral:rRNA from 1 species
GACGAACGCUGGCGGCGUGCUUAACACAUGCAAGUCGAACGCUGAAGCUCAGCUUGCUGGGUGGAUGAGUGGCGAACGGGUGAGUAACACGUGAGUAACCUGCCCUCUUCUUUGGGAUAACGCCCGGAAACGGGUGCUAAUACUGGAUAUUCACUGAUUCUCGCAUGGGGGUUGGUGGAAAGGUUUUUUCUGGUGGGGGAUGGGCUCGCGGCCUAUCAGCUUGUUGGUGGGGUGAUGGCCUACCAAGGCUUUGACGGGUAGCCGGCCUGGGAGGGUGACCGGUCACAUUGGGACUGGGAUACGGCCCAGACUCCUACGGGAGGCAGCAGUGGGGAAUAUUGCACAAUGGGCGAAAGCCUGAUGCAGCGACGCCGCGUGAGGGAUGGAGGCCUUCGGGUUGUAAACCUCUUUCGCUCAUGGUCAAGCCGCAGCUUUGGGUUGUGGUGAGGGUAGUGGGUAAAGAAGCGCCGGCUAACUACGUG